rnacentral:rRNA from 1 species
GAUGAACGCUGACAGAAUGCUUAACACAUGCAAGUCAACUUGAACUUCGGUUUGGGUGGCGGACGGGUGAGUAACGCGUAAAGAACUUGCCUCACAGAUAGGGACAACAUUUGGAAACGAAUGCUAAUACCUGAUAUUAUGAUUAUAUGGCAUCGUAUAAUUAUGAAAGCUAUAUGCGCUGUGAGAGAGCUUUGCGUCCCAUUAGCUAGUUGGAGAGGUAACGGCUCACCAAGGCGAUGAUGGGUAGCCGGCCUGAGAGGGUGAUCGGCCACAAGGGGACGGAGACACGGCCCUUACUCCUACGGGAGGCAGCAGUGGGGAAUAUUGGACAAUGGACCAAGAGUCUGAUCCAGCAAUUCUGUGUGCACGAUGAAGUUUUUCGGAAUGUAAAGUGCUUCCAGUUGGGAAGAAAAAAAUGACGGUACCAACAGAAGAAGUGACGGCUAAAUACGUG